rnacentral:rRNA from 1 species
GUAUCCUGGCUCAGAUUGGAACGCUGGCGGCAGGCCUAACACAAUGCAAGUCGAACGGUAACAGAAAGCAGCUUGCUGCUUUGCUGACGAGUGGCGGACGGGUGAGUAAUGUCUGGGAAACUGCCUGAUGGAGGGGGAUAACUACUGGAAACGGUAGCUAAUACCGCAUAACGUCGCAAGACCAAAGAGGGGGACCUUAGGGCCUCUUGCCAUCGGAUGUGCCCAGAUGGGAUUAGCUAGUAGG